GAGGGUAUAGCUCAGUUGUAGAGCGCAUGCCCAGCAUGCAUGAAGUCCUGGGUUCAAUCCCCAAUACCUUCA
rnacentral:tRNA from 1 species